UACGUAGGGACCAAACGUUGUUCGGAUUUACUGGGCGUAAAGGGCGCGUAGGCGGCGUGACAAGUCACUUGUGAAAUCUCUGGGCUUAACCCAGAACGGCCAAGUGAAACUGUUGUGCUAGAGUGCAGAAGGGGCAAUCGGAAUUCUCGGUGUAGCGGUGAAAUGCGUAGAUAUCGAGAGGAACACCAGAGGUGAAGACGGGUUGCUGGGCUGACACUGACGCUCAUGCACGAAAGCGUGGGGAGCAAACAGG
rnacentral:rRNA from 1 species